AUUGAAACUCUGGUUCCCAUACAAUCACUGAAGUUAAGCAACAUGGAGCCUGGUCCAUACUUAGAUGGAUAACCGGUUGGGAAUACCAGAUGCUGUAAG